rnacentral:rRNA from 1 species
UACGUAGGGUGCGAGCGUUGUCCGGAAUUAUUGGGCGUAAAGGGUGCGUAGGCGGUUCGGUAAGUUUCGUGUGAAAUCUUCGGGCUCAACUCGAAGCCUGCACGAGAUACUGCCGGGCUUGAGUGUGGGAGAGGUGAGUGGAAUUUCCGGUGUAGCGGUGAAAUGCGUAGAUAUCGGAAGGAACACCUGUGGCGAAAGCGGCUCACUGGACCACAACUGACGCUGAGGCACGAAAGCUAGGGGAGCAAACAGG